ensembl:lncRNA
GUUUAAGCAUCUGCGCACAAAAGGAAGUGGCACUGUAGCAUUAGCAAUAUUGUUAGCUGGUGUAAGCGACUGAAAGUCUGUGAAAAUCGCUAACAUGCUAGUUCUCCUCACAGACUUCCAUUGAUUGUGCUGAUUGUAGCUUCACGAAACAACCUCUUAUACUUCCUCCACGCAGAGAUGGCACCACUGCACAAAUUGGGAUGGAUUGCAAAAGCUCCGACAUCCCAUUAACUUGACACAGAUGAUGGUGACGAGAGCGGUCUACGACAGGGCCUCAAAAAACAUUUAGGACGGCUUCCUGAGUCACAUUUUCCACGUUGUGUUCCAGGGCAUGCAGCUAUUACCUUUGGUCUGCUCUGCUCCUCGUCGCCGCUGCUCUCCGGUAGGAAGCGUCCUGAGACCGCAGGGGAUGGAUGACCUGUCAUCAGGCGAUACAGUUAUUCUCCCCUCCUCUCCGGAUCUCGCAAUGAGCUGUAAUGGACUGGAAGGAAGAGCAACAGGAACAAUGGCCGUGACCUUUGAGUUGUGUCCAUGGGUUACCGCUUGUACUGUUGGCCCGGGGCGACCUCAGCCUUGACCUCUGGGGGAUGACGGCUGAUGUGAAGGACCAUUGGACCUUCUGACCUCCAGGUAGAAGGGGAGAAGCUGAAAAUGUGCCAUGGGGAAUGAGGUGCUGGGAGGGGGAAAAACUGAAAUGUGAUGUGUGUGUGUAUGAUGUGUAUUUGUGUUUGUGUGUUCAGGGGGGUGUUAUUUGAACCUCAGAAUGUUGAACCAAGUUUUGUCUUGCAACAGAGGAAGAGGUGAAGGAUCUAGGCUGUGACGUUACUAUGAAUCCUGGGAGAAACUGUCAAUGUAAACUUUUUGAUGUAUCUUGUGGAGACACGUUUUUUUGUAUUUUUUUUAAAGUGUUUUAAAGGACAAAAUUUCACCCUGAGUAAAUAGGAGACAGAAACACAAUUUGGAUUUCCUCAUGGGUGGCAAAUGUUCUUAUUUAUAUGGAAAGCUUUU